rnacentral:miRNA from 1 species
UGAACAAUACCUGUGUUAAAAG